rnacentral:tRNA from 1 species
GCGGGCGUGGUGGAAUUGGCAGACACGACAGUUUUAGGUGCUGUUACUUCGGUGUGCAGGUUCAAGUCCUGUCGCCCGCA